GAUGAAGAACGCAGCGAAAUGCGAUAAGUAAUGUGAAUUGCAGAAUUCAGUGAAUCAUCGAAUCUUUGAACGCACAUUGCGCCCGUCAGUAUUCUGGCGGGCAUGCCUGUUCGAGCGUCAUUACGCCCCUCAAGUCCCCUGUGGACUUGGUGUUGGGGAUCGGCGAGGCUGGUUUUCCAGCACAGCCGUCCCUUAAAUUAAUUGGCGGUCUCGCCGUGGCCCUCCUCUGCGCAGUAGUAAAACGCUCGCAACAGGAGCCCGGCGCGGUCCACUGCCGUAAAACCCCCCAACUUUUUAUAGUUGACCUCGAAUCAGGUAGGACUACCCGCUGAACUUAAGCAUAUCAAUAAGCGGAGGA
rnacentral:misc_RNA from 1 species